rnacentral:lncRNA from 1 species
AACGGCCGUUAAACGCAAUCAUUAAGGACUGUCCAUAUCAGAAUACAGAUGGAAUAAGCAAGAUGAAAUUAUCAUCAAAUCAUCAGAAACAGAGCAAACAAGUCGGCAAAGAAAUAAUAAUAUUGAUAACGCGUCGGCUGAACAUGCAGAAAAAAGUGUCAAAGCAUAUGGGAGGUGGCAGGUGGUGGUGGUGGUGGGGGAGGGGGAUUGAAUUGUAUUGCGGGAAUGCAUGGUCACAAGUAUGAUCCUAAUUGCGUGGCUAAAAUAAACAACUUCAGCUGUUAUUAGGAAGGAGAAGAGGGCAAGGGGAUUGUAUUGAAAACGAAUUUUAGCAAAAGAAAGAUGUCAUAUACCUGUAACCAACAAUUUGAUUGGACCACCUGGCAACCAUAAAUCAAAACAUACUCCCCCAUUCUACCACGGCUGUCUGGUCCACCGCUGGAUUCUGAAAUGAAAACACCAAUACAAUGGUUUUCAUUAUAACCCGUCCUAGCAACAAGGGUUGUCUAUAUAUCAAACAUACCUGCACAUGCUUUGAUGUUGGAACUCUCACAUCCACCAGCUACACCAUUUCACCACCCCAAGCACCAUUACUGUUGCCAUUGAAACCUCUCUCUGUUUCUCCUUCUCUCUCCCCUUCCUCUUUUUCUCUCCCAUCCCUUUUUUUUCUCUCUGAGAUUUCAUUGCUGCAACUGGCAACUGCAUUGCUGCACACCCAUGUCUGCCACUUCCAGUGCUUUCCAUUUUCAUGGUCUUUCUCCUUCCACUCGUCAAGUUUUUCUUGUUCCUUGUUUAUCAUUUUUGUCCAAACAAGAUGGAAAAUUUGUCUCAGCCUUGUCCAACUUUCGGUUCCUUUCUUAGUUGCUUGAGCUUGAAUGUUCUUUUUUAAAUAUUUCAGAAAACAAUUGAGGUAAAGGUUUUAAAAAGGAAAACUAAACCCGUGUCCCUCUUCACAUGUUUGCUAUUUAUAAACCAUUCCUUUGAGAC